UACGUAGGGUGCAAGCGUUAAUCGGAAUUACUGGGCGUAAAGCGUGCGCAGGCGGUUGUGUAAGUCAGAUGUGAAAUCCCCGGGCUCAACCUGGGAAUUGCAUUUGAGACUGCACGGCUAGAGUGUGUCAGAGGGGGGUAGAAUUCCACGUGUAGCAGUGCAAUGCGUAGAGAUGUGGAGGAAUACCGAUGGCGAAGGCAGCCCCCUGGGAUAACACUGACGCUCAUGCACGAAAGCGUGGGGAGCAAACAGG
rnacentral:rRNA from 1 species